AUGUGAAAAGAAAGUUAGAUAGACUGCACAUAAAAAUAUUGGUAAAUAAAUGGUUAAUUAAAUUUAAUAUUCACUGGAAUUUUAUUCCCAUAUAUGUAGGCAGUACAUUUAGAAAAUGGCAAAAAAAUAGAGUAAAAAAGUUCUGAGACCUACAACUUUCUAUUAAAUAGUGAUCUCGAGGCUGGACGCACCGAGAAUGAUAUAAUCUCGAUCAAAUAACACGUUUCUGUCGUUGUCCACUAGAUAGCUGCAAUAGUCUGGUCCCUAGGCGACAUAUCCCGUUUUGUCCGACUAUCCCCUUCAUGUUGACAUCAUAAAGGAUAUCAAUAAAAUUUAUGUGUCUUAAUUUAUUGUAAACGUAAAUGCUGUCGCCUGUUUAUAUAAACUUUACUGCAUAGUCCCUAAGUCUAUAUUGGUAAAGGCACUAAGCCAUCCUAUCCCCAGUUAACAUUGCAAAAAACGAUGGUUUGAUCCCAAGUGACAACUUAAUGUGUCAGAUUUGAUGGGUAUGAGAUUGCCUGAGAAGUAAAGUGGUUUGUGUGCAAUGCUGAUCAGUUGAAACAAUCAUGCUCACAUAUUAACAUAGCUGCAACCCUGCGUCUGACUUCAUUGUAACAUAUUAGACAUUUCAAAUAUGUUGUCUUUUUUGGCUCACUAAAUUGUGUGGAGCCUAUUUCAAAAGUGCAUUGUGCAGGAUUUUAUUUAAAUUGGCAUGCUUAUCUUAUGUAUAAUGUCUUUGAAUAAACUUACACACAUUUACUAAGGCAAUGUACAACUCGGCACUUGUUAAAAAUUGAAUACAAAAAGUUAAAUAAAUAAAAUUUUGAUAGUUCUAAUUAGUUAUUAUUGUUCUAAUUAGUUUUUUUUUCCUUCUUUUUUUACUAUAUGAUUAACAUACCUUUAUCAAUUCGGUUUAUUAAGUGGUACUCCCUUUAUGUAACAUUGUAUAAAAAAAAAUAUCUCGUUUUCUAAUUUUUGGAUAGCACCCAUGAUUUUAUAGAUGAUUUUUAAAAAUGUGUAGUUAUUAGGAAGAAUGUAGUUCUUAUAGGAUAUUUUAGAACUAAAUUGUAAAAUAUCUGCAUUUUUUCUCUCAGAAAACACAAAUGUUUAUGAAAAUAAGAUAAUAAGUAAAAAAUUUUACAUACUGAAUAUGACAGGUUUACCAUGAAGUUAUCCAUGUUUUAUUUUCUGUGUAUGGAACAGGAAGUCUAUAUCAAAUUAAUCGGAUACUGUUAAUAUGAAAUUAUUUAUAGAUAUAUAUAUUUGAUCAGAUUUUUUUUUUUUUUUUUACUAAUGAUAAUAUUGUUCUAUUUUAACCAUUCCUUUAUUAUUUAUUUUUUCUUUUUAUUUUAUCCAUCUAGGCUAUAUUGUUGUCAUAUGGUUUACAAAACAAAUCAUUAGAUGCUAUUUCAAAAGAUUUAGAACUACAGAAUAUUCAAGUUGUUGGUCUUUUAAAUCGAACCCUAAAGAAAAUCAGCAGUUACAUUUCGGGCAUUAUUGAAAAAAGUGUUGAAAGUACAUUAAUCUCUACUGAUGUUGAAAUGAAGCCUUUAGAAAUGGAUUUGGAUGAAGAGCUUGAAGAAGCUGCUGUUCAAGUUCAGAAACAACAG